rnacentral:rRNA from 1 species
UACAGAGGUCUCAAGCGUUGUUCGGAUUCAUUGGGCGUAAAGGGUGUGUAGGUGGCGCCGUAAGUCGGGUGUGAAAUUUCGAGGCUUAACCUCGAAACUGCAUUCGAUACUGCGGUGCUUGAGGACUGGAGAGGAGACUGGAAUUCAUGGUGUAGCAGUGAAAUGCGUAGAGAUCAUGAGGAACACCGGUGGCGAAGGCGGUUCUCUGGGAAUGUCCUGACGCUGAGGAGCGAAAGUGUGGGGAGCGAACAGG